AACUAUACCAGCAUUUUCAUAUUUCUCUUUCUGUUUCUAAAGCCUUUGAAAAUGUAUGUAGUUUUAUAAAUUAAUUUUUGUAAUUUCAAAUCAUACAUUAAUUUACAUUUUUUUUCUAGAUUAUGACUUGCAGGUGGGCAUUGUGGAAGCUUUAUGUAGAAUGACCACAGAAAAACAAAGACAAGAACUGGCAUGUCAGUGGUUUUCAAUGGAUUUUAUUGCUAAUGCAUUUAAAGGAAUUAAAGACUCUGAAUUUGAAACAGAUUGCAGGAUAUUUCUCAACCUUGUAAAUGGCAUGCUUGGAGAUAAG
rnacentral:lncRNA from 1 species